AGUGAAUAGAUACCCAGGUAGUCCCAGCUGUAAACGAUGCGCGUUAGGUGUAUCGGUGACCACGAGUCACCGAGGUGCCGAAGGGAAACCGUGAAACGUGCCGCCUGGGAAGUACGGUCGCAAGGCUGAAACUUAAAGGAAUUGGCGGGGGAGCACCACAACAGGUGGAGCCUGCGGUUUAAUCGGACUCAACGCCGGGAAGCUCACCGGAUAAGACAGCUGAAUGAUAGCCGGGUUGAAGACUCUGCUUGACUAGCUGAGAGGAGGUGCAUGGCCGUCGUCAGUUCGUACUGUGAAGCAUCCUGUUAAGUCAGGCAACGAGCGAGACCCACGCCAACAGUUGCCAGCAUGUCCUCCGGGAUGGUGGGGACACUGUUGGGACCGCCUCUGCUAAAGAGGAGGAAGGAAUGGGCAACGGUAGGUCAGCAUGCCCCGAAUUAUCCGGGCUACACGCGGGCUACAAUGGUCAGGACAAUGGGUAUCAACACCGAAAGGUGAAGGCAAUCU
rnacentral:rRNA from 1 species